rnacentral:rRNA from 1 species
CACGUAGUUAGCCGUGACUUUCUGGUUGAUUACCGUCAAAUAAAGGCCAGUUACUACCUCUAUCCUUCUUCACCAACAACAGAGCUUUACGAUCCGAAAACCUUCUUCACUCACGCGGCGUUGCUCCAUCAGACUUUCGUCCAUUGUGGAAGAUUCCCUACUGCUGCCUCCCGUAGGAGUUUGGGCCGUGUCUCAGUCCCAAUGUGGCCGAUCAGUCUCUCAACUCGGCUAUGCAUCAUCGCCUUGGUAAGCUGUUACCUUACCAACUAGCUAAUGCAUCGCAGGUCCAUCCUUUAGCGACAGCUUACGCCGCCUUUUAAACUUCUUUCAUGCGAAAGUAGCUUUUAUCCGGUAUUAGCAUCUGUUUCCAAAUGGUAUCCCAGACUUAAGGGCAGGUUACCCACGCGUUACUCACCCAUCCGCCGCUAGCUUGUAUCUAUGUCCAUUCCGAAGAAUUUCUAUAGGCAAGCUCGCUCGACUUGCAUGUAUUAGGCACGCCG